CGGGGGGCGGGGCUUGGGCAUGGCGGGCUGCAGGUCCUGAGCCCUCCCCUGGGGGUAGGCGGCUGAGGCCUGUUGAGAAUUAAAGCGCGGCGCGGGCGGGCUGGCAGUGCUGGGGGACCCGGCGCACCCUCCACAGCUGCUGGCCCCGGUGCUAAGCCCCGCUGAGCCUGCGCCCACCCGGAACUGGCGCUGGCUCGCGAGCGCGGCGCGCAGCCCCAGCUCCCGCCCGUGCCUCUCCCUCCACACCUCCCUGCAAGCAGAGGGAGCCGGCUCCGGCCUCAGCCAGCCCAGAAGGGGGCUCCCACAGCGCAGCAGCGGGCUGAGGGGCUCCUCAAGCACUGCCAGAGUGGACGCUGUGGCCUAAAGAGCAUUUGAGGAAACUGUCUUCCUGAACUCCACAAAUUUUGUAUGUUAUUUCAGCACUUGAGGAAACCGUCUUCCUGAACUCCACUGCAUCUCAGUGCGAGUCUCCUUCACCUCCUGUCUGGAAUACAUAACAGCCUCGACACUCCAGCUGCAUCUACUCAGAAGCAUUCUUUGCCCAGGAAACUCGUCCUUUUAAAAAUGCAUAUUUCAUGAAGAGUUUUGGGCAUAAUCACGUUUGGCUAUCAUAGUUUAACUAAAAUUGAGUUCUUUUGUUCAAAAGUGUGCAUGACGGGGUUGCUAGAAAAAUUAAAAAAACAAACAAACAAUAUCCAGUUAAAUCUGAAUUUGAGACAAUGAAUCUAAAGUCUAAAUAUGUCUCAAAAAUUAAGACAUAUAAUACUUAUAUUAAAAUAUGGGAUGGGCAAUAGUUAGGAUUUACCACUACAAAACAUUAUUUUCUGUUUAUUGAGAAAUUCAAAUUUAAUUGGCCAUUCUAUUUUUUUAAUUUCAUAAUUCUGACCAUUCUAGAAGUUUGAAAGCAAGUAAAUGCCUGUUCAUGUAAACCAUGAGCCUCAGUGACUAUGCCAUCCACUUUAUGAACAAUGGAAAACAAUUAUGGAAACCUAAUUCCAAAUAUAUAGUAAGUUAAAAUGGAAUAUUGCAUUCAGUACAUAUGACAGAACUGUUAUUUUGAAUAUAAAGAAGUAUAUAGUUUUAAUAAAUGGAAAAUCAGUUUUCUACUUGCUCCCAUUAACAAAGAUUGAACAAAAUAUUUAAAGAAUAUUGGUGAGGAGGGAAGCCUGCCUAGCAUCUUACAUUUGUAGGUUCAGACCUGCCUUAGGUCUUGUUCUUAUUCCUGUCUGUGGUUUUCUCUCUGCCUCUGUUAUUAUGAGCAGAGACUUACACCAUAUCAUGAUGAACACAUGGUCCAACAAUAGUUCCCCAGGUGAAAAGAAGUAUCUCUACAAAAUUUCCAGGAGGCGUUUGACAAAGAGAUUUAAAAAUUACAUGAAAGUAAUUAUAUCUACUGCUUGCCUCCCCACAUGCCCUUUCCUGGUAUUACUCCAUUUGUAUUGUUUUAAUAUAAGCUGGCAACUUAUCACAUUGGAAAGUGAACAGAUG
rnacentral:lncRNA from 1 species